rnacentral:lncRNA from 10 species
CCCACGUGUUGAGGGAGAAACUCAGUGGGAGGUAAUUAGAUCAUGGGAGUGGUUUUCUCCCUUGCUAUUUUCGUGAGAGUGAGUGAGUUCUCGCAAGAGCUGUUGGUUUUAUAAGGGGCUCUUCCCUAUACACUCUUCUCUCUCCCGCCACUUUGUGAAGAAGGUGCCUGCUUCCCCUUCUGCCAUGAUUGUAAGUUUCCUGAGGCCUCCGAGCUAUGCAGAACUCUGACACCUUGUGUGGAAUUAAAGAAUGCAGAGAAUCAGUAUUAACUCUCGGGAUCCUGGACCUAGUGUAAAUGGAGCUCUCUACGAACUCUUCAGGAGUCCCUCAACUUACCCAUCAAAAUGUUUUACAGAUUGCAUCAUCUUGAGAUGAGCAGCUGCUUCAUCUUUGGUAAGAAGAAUGCAGUUCCAGGGGGACCACUCCAGGGAUUUAUUCCAUCUGACCAUGACCAGAUCACUGAGAUUGUCGCAAGCACUGAGGACUGACUGGGACGCCCAGAUGUUCUCUGUCAGUGUAUACAGAGUCUUGCUCUGUCGCCCAGGUUGAAGUGCAGUGGUUCGAUCUCGGCUCAAUGCAACCUCUACCUCCCUGGCUCCCGCGAUUCUCCUGCCUCAGCCUCCUGAGUAGCUGAGAUUACAGGCGCCCGCCACCACCCCCGGCUAAUUUUGGUAUUUUUAGUAGAGAUGGGGUUUCACCAUGUUGGCCAGGCUGAUCUGGAACUCCUAGCCUCAAGCAAUCCGCCUUCAAAAGUGUUGGGGAUUACAGGAGUGAGCCACCGCGCCCGGCCUAUCAAUGAAUAAGAAAACUUUUAAAGAACCACAGGAUAGUAUUGGAGGUCAAGUCAAGUAUGUUCCUCUUGGAAAUUUAGUAACAAACUACAUGUUGCUAUCUCAUAAUAGCAGCUAACAUUUAUGAAGUAUUCAUUGUCAUGAGGCACCGUACAUAGAUUUCUAAUUUAAUCCUUACAACGAUUUUAUUAGGGAGAAACUGCUAUUAGACCCAUUUUGUAAAUGAGAAAACUAAGGCACACAAAGUUUAAUGAGGGAACCAGGAUUAAACCUAAGCAAUCUAACUCCAGGUCCCAGAUUUUUUAACCAUUACAGUACUGUUUAAUUUGAUUUGAUAUGUUAAAAGGAUUAAUAAAAUUAAUACAGGUCCAUUCCCUUAUUCAUAAAUGUUCAUUGUCUUCAUUUAUUUCUUUAUACUGUUCUGCUGAAAUUGCACUCUCAUCUCCCCAAUAACUUUGUAAUAUCCAAUGCCAUUUUUUUCAGUCAUCCCAUUUUAAAAUAUAUUUUUACUAGAAUAGUGAAAUAUAUAUUCAGAUAAAAUUGGCUUUGUUUUAAUAAUGAUCAGUAAAAGUAAAUUCAUUUUAAUCAUUUCCACACAUUCAUGAAAAGUAAAGGGGAAAAAUGGGCAUAGAGGUAACCACUAGAAUUAGGCUUUCUUGGAUGGGUAGACCAGGUGUGGAGGUGUGCAGAUAAGAUUUUACAAACACUCAUACACUCCCAUCUCCAAAAUCAUAAUUUAUCUUACAUUCUGCUACUAAUAAACAUUCCACUGGUUUUAAACAUUCACUUUGCUGGGUCUCCUCUUUAAAAUUUGUCAUUCACUGUUCUCAAUGUUAGAGACGGUAUGCAAACAGUAGGUUUAGGAAUAGAGUCAGGAGAUGGGGGAAGAAAAACUGGUAGGAGAGAACUUAAGUGUCUCACAGUGUUAAAUGUGACUUGAUAGCCACUAUUCAUUUUUUUUUGUAGUUUGCUGUGAGGAUGACUUUAUACAAUUUAAUCUUAAAUAGGAACCUAACUUAGUUAGGCUUCCUUGGGUAGUCUGUGGAGCAUGGAAAAGUUAUUAGCAUGUCAAAAUCCUGUCCACGCACACAUACACGCACAUACA